rnacentral:rRNA from 1 species
AUUGAACGCUGGCGGCAUGCUUUACACAUGCAAGUCGAACGGUAACAGGCCGCAAGGUGCUGACGAGUGGCGAACGGGUGUGUAAUGCAUCGGAACGUGCCCAGUCGUGGGGGAUAACGCAGCGAAAGCUGCGCUAAUACCGCAUACGAUCUAUGGAUGAAAGCGGGGGACCGUAAGGCCUCGCGCGAUUGGAGCGGCCGAUGUCAGAUUAGGUAGUUGGUGGGGUAAAGGCUCACCAAGCCAACGAUCUGUAGCUGGUCUGAGAGGACGACCAGCCACACUGGGACUGAGACACGGCCCAGACUCCUACGGGAGGCAGCAGUGGGGAAUUUUGGACAAUGGGCGCAAGCCUGAUCCAGCAAUGCCGCGUGCAGGAAGAAGGCCUUCGGGUUGUAAACUGCUUUUGUACGGAACGAAACGGUCCUGGUUAAUACCCGGGGCUAAUGACGGUACCGUAAGAAUAAGCACCGGCUAACUACGUGCCAGCAGCCGCCGUAAAAC